GACGAACGCUGGCGGCGCGCCUAACACAUGCAAGUCGAACGAGCGAGAGAGAGCUUGCUUUCUCGAGCGAGUGGCGAACGGGUGAGUAACGCGUGGGGAACCUGCCUCAAAGAGGGGGACAACAGUUGGAAACGACUGCUAAUACCGCAUAAGCCCACGACCCGGCCUCGGGUAGAGGGAAAAGGAGCAAUCCGCUUUGAGAUGGCCUCGCGUCCGAUUAGCUAGUUGGUGAGGUAACGGCCCACCAAGGCGACGAUCGGUAGCCGGACUGAGAGGUUGAACGGCCACAUUGGGACUGAGGCACGGCCCAGACUCCUACGGGAGGCAGCAGUGGGGAAUAUUGCACAAUGGGGGAAACCCUGAUGCAGCGACGCCGCGUGGAGGAAGAAGGUCUUCGGAUUGUAAACUCCUGUUGUUGAGGAAGAUAAUGACGGUACUCAACAAGGAAGUGACGGCUAACUACGUG
rnacentral:rRNA from 1 species